UGUCUUUGUUUUUGUUGUGUGAGUACUUGUGCUGUGCUGUGUGUGCGUGUGAUUUCUGUUUUUGAAGACAGAACACAAUGGGCGGGGUUUCAUUUUCAAACCAAACAAACUUUUCACCUCGGAUACGUAAAAAAAAAAAAACAAAAAAACAAAAAAACAAACACAAAGCCUGUUUGCCUCGUGAUUAGUGCUACCUUUAUAGCCCACUCUCACAGUCGCUGCACAAAACCCAAAUCCUCUCACUUUCUCCAUACAUAUAUACUCAGAUACUCUUUCUCUUGCUCUGUGCUGUUGUGGGAUUAGGGUUUAGGGUUUAAGAUGUGUCCAGCAAUUCAACCCCAAACCCAACUUGGCCAUGGCUUUCGUCACUUGUUCAUUCCAUUCCCUGAGAGAUGGUUUGUGCUAAAAAGGUUCAGAGAUUACACUGAUGCCUGCUGUAAGGGUUUUUCUCUGUUCCAACAUAAUAUAUGACAAAUUUAUCACUUAAAGGUACUGUUGGAAUUUAGGGAUUAAUAUACUUCAGGUCAUGAAUAGGGAAUGAAGCCAUUGGUCCGCAUAGCAUAGCGAUAUAUGUAACAUAUUCAACAAUUUCUGUACAUUAUUUUUCUACUUUAAAAAUAGUAGAUGUUAUGCUGCAACUUCUAUUUUUAAUCUGUUUGUUUUUGAGUAAAUUACUUAGUGAUAUGUUGAUCUCUC